rnacentral:misc_RNA from 1 species
AUUGUUGUGGUUUAGUUGAUAACUAAAUUUCUUUAUUUAAAUGGGGAAUGCAAAAUUUGCCUCUUAUCAGAACUCAUAGCUGAUUUCGUGCUUUACAAAUAUGCUUAUCAUUAGGCAUUUGGAUUUUGCCCUUGAUAAGAGCCUAUAAUUAGUUUCUAACUUUAUGGUAUAUGCUUUUGAUAAGUUGGUCCCACAAAUAUGUUUUUCAUAACUCGUAACAAUUAUAAACUCUUGUGGCAUUUGACCAGUUAACAAGCCCAAUAAAAUUCCCCCUGGACCCCAACCUUCACACAGCCUAUUUUUUCAGAUGGAAAUCAUUGACAAGAUUGUACAUUGUCAAGGUUUCUUUAGUUCUCAUGUACAUUGCUAAAAAUAUGAACAUCAAACCACCACGUAUUAAGCCUUCUUUGGCAAAUUCAGUAAAAUUCUCAUUGCCAUGAGAUUGCACCUUGAUGCCAAACUUACACCAUAUGCCUAGUUGCCUUAAUAGUGGGUUUUCCCUUGAAAGAUAAUUAUGUUUGUUUCCUUAUAGGAUAUUGAAGCUGCAAAAUUCUGGUCCUGAUCUUUAGCUUGAAUCAUACUUCAUUUGCAAUAUUAAUUAAGGGUUGAGAAAGAUGUUAAAUGACCAACUCCCAUACUGUAUACUCCUAAGUAUCUGUGUGGAUCUUAAAUGCUUGGAAAUUUUCACUAUUUAAAGCUUUUAUUCCCUCUAGAAGGCAAACAUGCAAUUCCAUGUCAAUGCAAAUGCAUGAAUCAGUUGGCAGAGAGUGUAAAUCUGCAGCUAAAUGGAGGUUUCGGCAUUAAAGCACAAGAGGAACAGAAUAAACAGCAAGUUUUAUGCCUCAUUCCUAAUCCUUUAACUCACUGUAGUCCACAGCUUGUUGAAUUUUAUGAAGCCACUGUGCAGGUUCUUGGCUAAUGUGAUUGUUUCUCUUGACGGGAUUCCUUUGGCCAGCCAGCUGUUUGUGAUUUAUUGCUUUAGCCAUUAUCAGAAUACAAGAUUUGAGUUGAGACUCUUGGUCAUUGAAUUUUUCUCGCUAAUGCUCAAUCACAAUUGACCUGGUGACCUGAAAAGGCAUUCUUAUGUUUGAAGUGCAUCAAUUUAAGAUUAGUCUUGAGAGUUAGCUUGCUCUAUGUUAAUCAGUUAUAGCCUAUUUCAUUCUGAGUCUUUUCGUUCUAAACUAUUUCCAAAUGUCAUAUUGCUGUUGAUUUAUGUAGACAAUUUAAGGUUCAAACGCUAGUUAGUCUCUCAUGUGGAAGAGUUUUUAGUCUAAUGUAAUACCAAUAUUCUACUAGGGCCUUUAUAUAGUUAAUAUGCUCGAAAUUUUCUUGCAGGAAUUUGCUCCAGAAACAUUGGAAGCUUGUGUCUGCAAGGGUCACCUGAGCCAGCAGUUACUGCAAGUGAAGAUUUGAUUUCAGUUCAAUUUUACAAGAA